CGUGCCUAAUACAUGCAAGUCGAACGGCUUUUCUAUGGAAGCUUGCUUCCACUGAGAAGAUAGUGGCGAACGGGUGAGUAACACGUGGGUAACCUGCCCAUAAGAGGGGGAUAACAUCCGGAAACGGGUGCUAAUACCGCAUAGUUUUCUUGAUCGCAUGAUUGAGAAAGGAAAGACGGCCUUUGUGCUGUCGCUUAUGGAUGGACCCGCGGCGUAUUAGUUAGUUGGUGAGGUAACGGCUUACCAAGACGAUGAUACGUAGCCGACCUGAGAGGGUGAUCGGCCACAUUGGGACUGAGACACGGCCCAAACUCCUACGGGAGGCAGCAGUAGGGAAUCUUCCGCAAUGGACGAAAGUCUGACGGAGCAACGCCGCGUGAGUGAAGAAGGUUUUCGGAAUCGUAAAACUCUGUUGUCAGAGAAGAACAAGUUGGAGAGUAACUGCUCCAGCCUUGACGGUAUCUGACCAGAAAGCCACGGCUAACUACGUGCCAGCAGCAGC
rnacentral:rRNA from 1 species